rnacentral:rRNA from 1 species
UAGCUAGUUGGUGAGGUAAAGGCUUACCAAGGCGACGAUCUGUAGCGGGUCUGAGAGGAUGAUCCGCCACACUGGAACUGAGACACGGUCCAGACUCCUACGGGAGGCAGCAGUGGGGAAUUUUGGACAAUGGGGGCAACCCUGAUCCAGCCAUGCCGCGUGAGUGAAGAAGGCCUUCGGGUUGUAAAGCUCUUUCGGCCGGGAAGAAAUCGCAUGGGCCAAUACCCUGUGUGGAUGACGGUACCGGAAUAAGAAGCACCGGCUAACUACGUGCCAGCAGCCGCGGUAAUACGUAGGGUGCGAGCGUUAAUCGGAAUUACUGGGCGUAAAGCGUGCGCAGGCGGUUUUGUAAGACAGGCGUGAAAUCCCCGGGCUUAACCUGGGAACUGCGUUUGUGACUGCAAGGCUAGAGUACGGCAGAGGGGGGUGGAAUUCCACGUGUAGCAGUGAAAUGCGUAGAGAUGUGGAGGAACACCAAUGGCGAAGGCAGCCCCCUGGGUCGAUACUGACGCUCAUGCACGAAAGCGUGGGUAGCAAACAGGAUUAGAUACCCUGGUAGUCCACGCCCUAAACUAUGUCAACUAGGUGUUGGGUGGGUAAAACCAUUUAGUACCGUAGCUAACGCGUGAAGUUGACCGCCUGGGGAGUACGGCCGCAAGGUUAAAACUCAAAGGAAUUGACGGGGACCCGCACAAGCGGUGGAUGAUGUGGAUUAAUUCGAUGCAACGCGAAAAACCUUACCUACCCUUGACAUGCCAGGAACUUGCCAGAGAUGGCUUGGUGCCCGAAAGGGAGCCUGGACACAGGUGCUGCAUGGCUGUCGUCAGCUCGUGUCGUGAGAUGUUGGGUCAAGUCCCGCAACGAGCGCAACCCUUGUCGUUAAUUGCCAUCAUUUAGUUGGGCACUUUAACGAGACUGCCGGUGACAAACCGGAGGAAGGUGGGGAUGACGUCAAGUCCUCAUGGCCCUUAUGGGUAGGGCUUCACACGUCAUACAAUGGUCGGUACAAAGGGUUGCCAAGCCGCGAGGCGGAGCCAAUCCCAGAAAGCCGAUCGUAGUCCGGAUUGCAGGCUGCAACUCGCCUGCAUGAAGUCGGAAUCGCUAGUAAUCGUGGAUCAGCAUGUCACGGUGAAUACGUUCCCGGGUCUUGUACACACCGCCCGUCACACCAUGGGAGCGGGUUCCGCCAGAAGUAGGUAGCCUAACCGCAAGGGGGGCGCUUACCACGGCGGGGUUCGUGACUGGGGUGAAGUCGUAACAAGGUAGCCGUAGGGGAACCUGCGGCUG